rnacentral:rRNA from 1 species
AUUGAACGCUGGCGGCAGGCCUAACACAUGCAAGUCGAGCGAGCGGCGGACGGGUGAGUAAUGUAUGGGGACUGCUCGAUAGAGGGGGAUAACUACUGGAAACGGUGGCUAAUACAGCAUACUAUCGGAUAACCCAUAUGGGAUUAGCCAGUAGGUGGGGUAAAGGCUCACCUAGGCGACGAUCUCUAGCGGGUCUGAGAGGAUGAUAAGCCACUCUGGUACGGAGACACGGCCCAGACUCCUUCGGAGGCAGCAGUGGGGAAGAUUGCUCAAUGGGCGUAAGACGGAUGCAGCCAGGCAGCGAGUAUGAAGAAGGCCGUAGGGUUGUAAAGUACUUUAAGCGGGGAGUCGUUACCCGGAGAAGAAGCUCGGGCUAACUCCAUGCCAGCAGCCGGGGUAAUG